ACGCUGACAGAAUGCUUAACACAUGCAAGUCAACUUGAAUUUGGGUUUUUAACUUAGAUUUGGGUGGCGGACGGGUGAGUAACGCGUAAAGAACUUGCCUCACAGCUAGGGACAACAUUUAGAAAUGAAUGCUAAUACCUGAUAUUAUGAUUUUAAGGCAUCUUAGAAUUAUGAAAGCUAUAAGCACUGUGAGAGAGCUUUGCGUCCCAUUAGCUAGUUGGAGAGGUAACAGCUCACCAAGGCGAUGAUGGGUAGCCGGCCUGAGAGGGUGAACGGCCACAAGGGGACUGAGACACGGCCCUUACUCCUACGGGAGGCAGCAGUGGGGAAUAUUGGACAAUGGACCGAGAGUCUGAUCCAGCAAUUCUGUGUGCACGAUGAAGUUUUUCGGAAUGUAAAGUGCUUUCAGUUGGGAAGAAAAAAUGACGGUACCAACAGAAGAAGUGACGGCUAAAUACGUGCCAGCAGCCGCGGUAAUACGUAUGUCACGAGCGUUAUCCGGAUUUAUUGGGCGUAAAGCGCGUCUAGGUGGUUAUGUAAGUCUGAUGUGAAAAUGCAGGGCUCAACUCUGUAUUGCGUUGGAAACUGUAUAACUAGAGUACUGGAGAGGUAAGCGGAACUACAAGUGUAGAGGUGAAAUUCGUAGAUAUUUGUAGGAAUGCCGAUGGGGAAGCCAGCUUACUGGACAGAUACUGACGCUAAAGCGCGAAAGCGUGG
rnacentral:rRNA from 1 species